UGUUAUUCUAUUAAGAAGUGCUUUCCCCCCCCAAGAUGAAACAAAUCCUCUGAUUCAGAGAUCAGUUUUAAGCUUACAUGUUUUGUACAGUCCCAGAUUUGAUGGAUCUUAGAAACGAAUCAAAUCCCAUCAACCUGAAAAUCUAUCCAUCCCUGCCAAAAACAAUCUAAUGUUCUUGGCACACAUGCUUCCCAGAAAUAAACUUCUUUUUUAAUCCAUGAGAUUUAUUUCCCCAAAAGCAAAGGGGAUGGCUGCUGUCUCUCUAAAGAAGGUCCAAUCAGGAGUGCUCCAGAAAUUACAGAACAGCCUAAAAUGUUCAAGUUUGAAAAGAAGGCAUGUUCCAACAAAGAAAAAAUGCCAGUUGGGAGAAAAACAAAUCUAACCUAGGGCGUAGCUAUCCUCUCUUUUGUCAGCAGACUAUUCUGGAUCAGCAGUCCAAGAGACAGUGAAAGUUGGUGCUAACUCAGGAUCAGCCACCGGAGAAGGUAAAAUUGUCCAACCAAAGAAAAUGGCUUCAAACGGAGUAUCUAUGAUGCUUCUGUUCUUUAUCUCCAUCUCUGUUAUCAAUAUUUCUCAGUCUCAAAACCCACAAGCCUUUCAAAGGAAACAUAUGACAUUUCUGGAUAACAUAGACCACAACAGAUGCAACAGUGAGAUGCAAAAUAGAAGGAUUUCUUUGACUAGAAGUGGAUGCAAACGGCUCAACACAUUCAUCCAUGCCCCUGAGAAGCUUAUUGACCAAACCUGUGUGUCAGGGAAACCAUACGUGAUCCAAAAUUUGGAAUAUAAGAAGAGUAGCAUGAAAUUUCGUGUGACAAGUUGCAGACUUUCUCAGGAAUAUGGAAAAGAUUGCAAGUACAAGGCAGAAGAGAGCAGAUGGAAAUAUAUUGUGGUUUCGUGCAACCAAAAUGACCGUCCAGUCCAUCUGGCAGGGAUACUUACCUGGUAAAGCAAGAAGAUGAACAAAUUUGUUUCUCAAGUAGUUGCUUUAUUUUAUGAGUUCAGUAAUGCAUUUUUUUCCCUGUAGAUUCUAGGGAGAAAAGCUUAUUCUGUUGUGCCAAUAUCUUUUUUAAACCCUCUGAUUUAGUUUUGGUGCCUUGAAAGUGUUGGAAGAAAUGUCUUUCUGGGUUCAGUUCCAAGUGGGGAAAAAGACACUGGAAACAUGGAGACUGCUUGGAAAGAUGGUUUAAUGGUGGACAGGAAUCACAUGGCUUGAGUUCCUGAACAGAAAAGUGGGGGUGAGAUGCUGAGAGUUCCUGGGUUUUAUGCCCUCUCUGGACUUUAAACUUCUUGGGGCACAGGAAAAGUAUCCUGAUUGGUUGUCAGAGGUCAUAGCUAACCUUGCUGGCUGAUGUAAUCUUCCCAGGUGCCAUGUGGGGAGUUUCUGUUGCUAGAUUGAUCCUUUGUGUUGCAGAUGGGAUGCUGAGGCCUUAAUGGCCCAUUGACAAAGGUGGGGGGAAUGAGUUUCUGCCUCCCUUUUUGCGGGAAAUAUUCUGCCUUUUUAGCGUAUCCUAAAACCAUGAUGGCGAACCUAUGGCACGCGUGCCACAGAUGGCAUGCGUGGCCAUAUCUGUGGGCACGCAAGAGUUGCCCUAGCUUAGAUCCAGUGUGCAUGUGUACGCCAGCCAGCUGAUUUUCGGGCCUUUUGGGCCCACCAGAAAUUGGGAAACGGGCUGUUUUUGGCCUCGGGUGGGGAAGACCAUUUUCACUCUCUCCAGGCUCCUAGCAAGCCUCUGGAGCCUGGGGAGGGCAAAAAACAGGCCUACCGGGCCCACUGUGCCAUCGCGUGCCAAAAGCAGGGGGAGUGCGGGGGGUUCACACGUGCAUGCAUGGGGGGCAGGGCACAAUUAUGGGUAUUGGCACACGCACGCUCGACACCCCCAGCUCCCCUGCACUUUUGGCACACAAUGGCAAAAAGGUUAGCCACCACUGUCCUAAAAUAUUUCAUUUUUCUAGGAGAGGGGUGGGUUUUAACUUCCAACAAAACUAGGUUGAUUUUUUUUCUGAAAUUCUACAUAUCAAGCAGAUCAGUGGUGGUAUUCUGCCGGUUCUAACCAGUUCGGCAUACCGGUAGCGGGAGGCUCCGCCCACCCGUCCAGACAUCAUCAUGUCCUGUUUUUGAUGAUCUGCACAUGCAUAGGUCUUGCACAUGCAUGGAGGUGGUGCAUGCAAAUGAAGCGAGUGCGCUCCCACGCUCACAUUUGCAAACUGAUAGCGAAGGUAAGUGAAUGCCACCACUGAAGCAGAUGCUGAAAAAGAUAUGGCCAGGGCCUAUUUUGCUGUCCUAUAGAAGUGAUCUCCAUCCCUUAUAAACAGCUGGGGUGUUGUAGGAAGUUAGCUGGAAGAGUGAAAUAUUUUAGGAAAUAUGAAAAAGGCAGAAUAUUAUAUUUCCCUGGGAUAAGCAUGUUUUGAAGCAGCUCCCAUCUUCCUGCCCCCACCCUUUGUCAAUGGGCCAUUAAGGCUUGGGCCAGUCUAUUCUACAUAACAAAGAUCUACCUCCUUCAGGCAGAGCCAUAGUAGGAAUUGCCAAAGAUCCAACAAAGAUAGGAUUAGCCCUCUACACAAUAGCAGCAGAAACUCACCACAUGUGACCUGGGAAGCACAUGUGACCAUCAGCCAGCAAAGCUAGCUAAGACCCCCACCCCCUGGAAGUCUGACAACCAAUCAGGAUACUCUUUCAGGGUCCCAAGAAAUGCAGAGCCAGAGAGAGCAUAAAAACCCGAGGAUUUACUGUAUCUGCCCUUUUCUGUUCAGAAACUCAAGCCAUGUGAUCCUGUCCACCAUUAAACCAUCUUUCCAAGCAGCCUCCAUGUUUCCAGUGUCUGUUUCCCCACUUGGAGCAGAACCUAGAAGGAUGUUUCUUCCAACAGUGUAAAAUUGUCCUUCAACACUCUGAAGGAGAACCUGAGAAAUAUAAAUCAACUGCAUGGAUGAUUCUUUUCUAGUAAUUCUAGUAAUUUGGGGAAAUGAAAUGGCUUCCCAGAUAGUCUCUGAGUUUGUGCUGGUUUUGUUCCCUGUCUGAAACUAAUUCUUGUGCAAGGGCAGAAUCCAAUUAGACAUUUCUAAUUACCUUGCAAAUCAACCCACAGUUUCUAUACUCAGACCCAAGUGCUGCACAAUGGAGUGAGCUCCCAUCUUUGCUCAGCUGACCACCUAACAGUUCGAGUGCACGCAAAUGCGAGUAGAUAAAUAGGUACCAUUUUGGUAACAGUGUUCUGUGCACCUCGGCGUAUAAUCAUGCUGGCCACAUGACCAUGGAAAUAUCUUUGGACAAUACUGGAUCUCUCGCUAAGAAAUGGAGAUGAGCACCGCUCCCUAAAGUCUUCUUUUGUGAAUGCGUUUCCUAAUUUGCAAUAUUUAGUCUAUCAAAGCUAUUGUUGCAGUUUUCAUAUCAUGUAGAAAAUUGUUAAAACAUAAUUUGUAAGUAUAACUGUUGCACAGCUUAGCAAUAUAAAUGUCUACAUGUCAUUCUCUAAACAA